rnacentral:sRNA from 15 species
AACUUCCGUGACUUUUUUCAUUUUGCAAACCAUUAAUAGACAUACUGUAUAUGUACAUAGCUUUUAAGCUGUUUGUAUACGAUACAACGGCUGCAUGAGAGCAUGUGUACGUGUGAGGCAUACAAUCUCAUUUCACUCAACAUUCCUAUGCUGCACAGAAUAUCAACUCCAUUUAGCUUACGUUGGCACAAGCGAGAUAGCACAACUAAUUUAAUGACAAAGCAUGAAGCGAUACAGACAUAAAUGCUGCAUUUGCAGUCGCUGCAUCGUUUACAACCAGCUUUGUGGUGCGAUGACAUUAGACUUUGCUAACUGAAAAAACAGAGAUAUGUACAUAUCUUUAUAGGAAAACCAUACAGUGAGAGCGGUAUAAAUACAUACAUAUGUAUUAGCUUGGCUUUCCAGUUUAGCAAAGUCUAGUUUCAUAUGACUAUAAACACAAGACAGUGUAACCGUAGUGCAUUAACACCUGGUCACACCCUUACCCCUAGCAAAAUAUGUAGUACGACUUCUAGUCGGUGAAAAUUUUAUUCGAUCUGACUACUAGGUUUACAACACAAGCUUACCAAGCUGGCAAAAAAACAUUUGACUAGUGUCACAUGAGAAAAAUUCCUUUACUUCUACUGUUCCUGUCUGAGAGAGUGUGUGAAGGGAGAGAUCACGUUAUAUUUCAGUUUGAUAUCACUGGAAACAAACAAUUCGGUUGCUUUAGCUACAAGACCAUCGGAAAACUAGGCUUAAGCAAUUUUAUAUCGAUUUGGAUACUGACGCUGAUCUUACAUAACCCACCAUGCGAAAGCGGUGAUUUUUUAAUCUGAACGAUAUUAUUUUCGUUCAUGAAUCAUGAACUGGCUCACAUACAUACAAAUUCACUGACCAUUUUUGUUUGGAAAAAUCAAUGAACGACAAACAUGUCGCACAUAAAUUUAAAAGAAGAAAAUGGCGAAAUGUUAGUCCAAAUAAUAAUUUAGAAAAAAAUCGAAGUUUUGAUAGAAAAAUUUGCGGGGGCGGUGGCACUUGUGAAGCUACAAAUAAAAAAAGAGCCAAAAGUAGCAGAAAAUUACAUAAUCGACGACGGAGUUGGAGCAUUUCAACUCGAUAAUAACUCCGGAGCGCACCGAUUUCUUUACUAACAAAUUACGGAACGUAAUAGGGACGAGCCCAUCAAUGUCAAGAAGUUUAAAAAAUAUGGUGCACGAGAGGAUUAUUUUGGAGUAAAAUUUAUUUGGAACUUCGGGGAAGAGUUCCCUUGGAAGUUUCAAGGAAUUUUAUAAUGUCCUGGAAAAAAUACUUAAAAAAACAUAAUAAUUGAUUAAUUAAUCCAUAUUACUUCAGCGGCGGUG